UCCUGGUGCCCUUCAUUCCACCGGAAUCUGUCCAUGCAGCAACCAGAUUUCAGUGAAAUGAAGCCCACCAGAGA
rfam:Acanthisitta chloris contig48095, whole genome shotgun sequence.